rnacentral:rRNA from 1 species
UUCGUAGGCGGUGCGGUGUGUCGGGAGUGAAAUCUCUGGGCUUAACCCAGAGGCUGCUUCCGAAACUGCCGUGCUCGAGUGCGGGAGAGGCCAGUGGAAUUGCAGGUGUAGCGGUGAAAUGCGUAGAUAUCUGCAGGAACACCCGUGGCGAAGGCGGCUGGCUGGACCGCAACUGACGCUGAGGAACGAAAGCUAGGGGAGCAAACAGGAUUAGAUACCCUGGUAGUCCUAGCCCUAAACGAUCAGGACUUGGGGUGCAUCCCGUUGGGGGUGCGUCCCGUAGCUAACGCGUUAAGUCCUGCGCCUGGGGAGUACGGUCGCAAGGCUGAA